rnacentral:rRNA from 1 species
UACGAAGGGGGCUAGCGUUGCUCGGAAUCACUGGGCGUAAAGCGCACGUAGGCGGAUCUUUAAGUCAGGGGUGAAAUCCUGGAGCUCAACUCCAGAACUGCCUUUGAUACUGGGGAUCUCGAGUCCGGGAGAGGUGAGUGGAACUCCGAGUGUAGAGGUGAAAUUCGUAGAUAUUCGGAAGAACACCAGUGGCGAAGGCGGCUCACUGGCCCGGUACUGACGCUGAGACGCGAAAGCGCGGGGAGCGAACGGG